rnacentral:tRNA from 1 species
UAGCUCAGCUGGAUAGAGCAACGGCCUUCUAAGCCGUAGGUCACAGGUUCGAAUCCUGU